rnacentral:misc_RNA from 1 species
UCCUCUCUCAAACCCCCGGGUUUGGUGUUGGACCGCGUUGGCCUCACGGCCAACUGGUCUCAAAGACAAUGACGGCGUCCCAGGGACCCUCUUCGCACUGAGCUUUCCGGAGCACGCGUCGAGUUUCAAGGGCCCAGGGACCCGGUCGCCUCUAAAAACUUUUAUCA